GAAGCUCCAUGAGACCUUUCCUCGUCUGUGCACAGACUGGCAGCCGACUCUGGAACCCAGAUUGUUGCUUCCCGGUCUAGUGAUCCUUCCUCCAUAGUCUGAUACUCCCACACGGGAGGUACUGGAACAACUAGGUCAGCUACAGGACUUGGGGGAUCGGAUGCCCUGUGGGGAGGAGAGGAUUAAGGAGUGGGGCAGACAAACCCGGGACCAAUCUCAGACUAAUCAGAAGGCUGACCAACAAGCUAAAAUUUCCACUAUUACUGCAGACUCAGGCCCAGAAGAACCGGAUUGGGCUGCGCUCAUGCAAUGGGUGCAUCUCCAGUGAGGACAUCUAGGCAUCCAGGGAACCAUGGCUUGGGGACAGCAAAGAGGGAUAUCAUUACCGAAGGAUGUGGUUCACACAACUUUAUCCCAACGCACUACACGCCAACAGUUAAAAACUAAGCCAGUUCCUCAGAGGGUUUUGGGGCACAUUCAUAGGGGAAAAAUGCCAGGACAAAUUUGGCAAAUGGACUAUACUUGUCCUUUGCCACUUCUAAAGGGUGCCAAUACAUAUGUACUUCUGUAGACACCUGCUCAGGGUUCCUAGUAGCCUGCGCUUAUGCUAAUGCUAACCAAACUAACACUAUUAAAACCUUAAACAUCCUAAUUCUAUAUUAUGGUGUGCCCAUACAAAUUCAAAUGGACAGUGGCUCCCAUUUCAAAGGUAAGGCUGUACAAACCUUUGCAGCCCAACAUGGCAUAGAAUGGAUUUUCCACAUCCCAUGCCACCCACAGGCAGCUGGCCUAAUCGAAAGAAUGAACGGGUUAUUGAAAAAACAGCUAAAGGUGUUAGGGCAAGGUAAGUUAAAAAAAUGGAACGAUCACCUGUUUGAGAUAGUACAAAUUUUAAAUAAUCGGCCAUUAACAACAUCUGAAACCCCACUGAGCCAAAUGCUUAUCCUACACUUACAAAUUGCUAAGUGUGCAGGUGUAGUCCACCCUCUCUUGCUGAAAUGCUGGAAAAUCCACCCACUCCCAUGGAGGAGUACAAGAGGAGCUGCCAGUUUGGACUUAUAUAGUUUAAAGCCUGGGAUAAUUCCCGCCCAAAGUACAUACACGGUAGCCACCGGCUUAGGAGUUAUUAUAGGUAUUAUACCUUGCAAACAUUAUGGGUGGAUUACAUUCCAAUCAGGUCUUGCAAUGCGGGGUAUUACAGUACACGGGGGUAUAACUGACAGUGAUUACCGGGGAGAGUUAAAGGUCAUUUUAUACAAUACCACUCCAGAUUCUUUUGCUAUAAAACUGCAGAUACCAGUUGCUCAAUUGUUAGUGGUACCUUGUCAGCAAUUAACCCUGUAGGAAAUCUCUGCCCCAACAGAGGCUACAUACAGAACCAGGUUAUUCAGAUCCACUGGUACUAGUGGCUUAAAUCCUGGAGCCAAAAUAUAGGUACAGCGUCCAUCAGAUCCCACCCCUCAGGCUGGUGACCUUGUAGCUAUGGGAGCAGAAAAUGAAGGCAUAGUACAAUUUCCUAAAUAUGAAAAAACAAUAUCAUGUUCCCCUCCACUUUUGCUAUUACAGGGAAUGACCUAUCUACUGAUGUGUCUUGUGUCUUUGUGUCUGAGGCCUAGAAUGAAUUUAUUACCUGGUAGCCACUGCUGCAAAAGAGCUCAACCGCAGUCAGUGCUGGUAUGUGUCGAGUUGCCAGAGGCUGCAGGGAAUGGAUUACCUUAGAAUAUUAUCUCUGCUAAUAUUUCCAAGUGGCUAUGUCGCUACCAAUGGGGUUGGGAGAAUAGCACCUGUAGUACAACCUGAACUUCUUUUAACCAAACUAAACAGUCUAUUCUUGCCCAAAUUCAACAAAAGGCGAAAUCCACCCUUGCAAUGAGUCAAAAGCUUUUGUAUCCUACCUGAUAUGCCUGGAACAGCGUAUACGGGGAACCUGUCAUACUGGUAGCUGGACUCCUUAUGGCCCCCCCUUUGUUUGGGGGCCUUAAAUGGCUUCCCCAAUGACACUCUGGGGUUUCUCCCACCAGACAGUUGUCAGCACAUAUUCCAAAUCAAUAACAGUGCCCCCAGUGAAACACAGCACCUUUGUUACUUAAAUUACACAUUACAGCAAUACGAUUGUAGUAGAACUCUUCCCCUUCCCUGGGGGGCCCUCUGGGUAUGCGGAUCCUAUGGGUGGUGAUACUUGCCCCCGAACUGAACAGGGAGAUGCACUUGGGGGUGGCCAUUAAUUCCAUUCACUAUCUGGGAUAAUAUUUCCCUCCCCAGUAAUCUAGUUACUUACAAAUAUUGCUGGUUACAAAUGCGCCGGACUCCCUGGUGGUGGUACCAUAUCACUGCUGGUACAAUCCUGCUUCAACAACAAAUUAAAAUACUAAGCUUGCAUGUAGAAAAAGCUCUUAAUGCUAGUAGCACUGGACUUACAUUGUUAUCAGAUGAAUUUGCUCAGGGGCGUACUGUUGUGUUGCAAAAUCAAAUGGCAUUACACAUCCUUACAGCAGCCCAAGGAAGGGUUUGCGCCUUACUGCAUGCUGAAUGUUGUGUGUAUAUCCCUGACAAUUCUCACAAUAUUACUCUCCUUGCCCAAGACAUGCAAAAACAAAGCAGUUAGAAUAUAACCAUGGGCACCCCAUCGUGAAUUGGCUGUCCGACUGGCAUUGGCGUUGGCCGUGGUGGGUGUGGUUUUUAUUAAUUGUGCUUUUAAUUCUCCUGUGUUUACCCUGUAUCUGUAAUCUAUAUCAACUAUGCCUUCCCCAUGUAUCUUUACACGUUUUAUCCACAACUGAGUAUCAAAUUGAGGCCGAAUGUGGAGGAAAAGUUAAAUAUUUAAUUUGAACUCAAUUGAACAUGGACAUAAACAAUGGUCACCAACUCCCGGAACAGGUUGCAUGAGCCCCUUGAGGCAUUCAUCCAGCAAAGUUUUAGAGAAAUCUGCUCCUGUACGUCAGUUACUGAGAAACAACAGACAAUCACAAAAACAAGUAGACCUUUUUGUGUCCCUUGAGCCCAGUCUCGAAGGGCCCUCGUGACUGGGCCUCAUGCCAAACAAUUCAUUACAAAAGAGCUAGGGUCCCAGACCGCACUGAAGCUCCAUGAGACCUCUCCUCGUCUGUGCACGGACCGGCGGCCCACUCUGGAGCCCAGGCUGUUGCUUCCCAGUCUGGUGAUGCUUCCUCCAUAAUCUGGUGGUGUAAAUAUAUAUGGACAUAUCUUUUCCCUUCACUCCUUUCCACUGCAAUUUGCUUGUUAUAUCAUUUGCUUAUUAUAUCUAUAUUGCCAUAUACGUGGGAUAAAGGUUGUUCACCCUUAAAAGGUCUUGUGUGUGUGCCAGGCGCGGUGGCUCAUGCCUGUAAUUCCAGCAUUCUGGGAGGCCGAGGCGGGUGGAUCUCCUGAGGUCGGGAGUUCGAGACCAGCCUGACCAACAUGGUGAAACCCUGUCUCUACUAAAAUACAAAAAAUUAGCCGGACAUGGUGGCAUGCGCCUAUAGUCCCAGCUACUUGGGAGGCUGAGGCAGGAGAAUCACUUGAACCCGGGAGGCGGAGGUUGCACUAAGCUGACAUCGCACCACUGAGCUCCAGCCUGGUGACAGAGUAAGACUCCGUCUAAAAAAUAGAAAUAAAAAUAAAAAAGUC